rnacentral:rRNA from 1 species
UGGGGAAUAUUGCACAAUGGAGGGAACUCUGAUGCAGCGACGCCGCGUGAACGAAGAAGGCUUUCGAGUCGUAAAGUUCUUUUAUAUGGGAAGAUAAUGACGGUACCAUAAGAAGAAGCCCCGGCUAACUACGUGCCAGCAGCCGCGGUAAUACGUAGGGGGCUAGCGUUGUCCGGAAUCACUGGGCGUAAAGGGUUCGCAGGCGGAAAUGCAAGUCAGGUGUAAAAGGCAGUAGCUUAACUACUGUAAGCAUUUGAAACUGCAUAUCUUGAGAAGAGUAGAGGUAAGUGGAAUUUUUAGUGUAGCGGUGAAAUGCGUAGAUAUUAAAAAGAAUACCGGUGGCGAGGGCGACUUACUGGGCUCAUUCUGACGCUGAGGAACGAAAGCGUGGGUAGCAAACAGG